AGACUGCUGUUUCUCUUGAGUGGCUUCUGGGGGCUUGAGAUGAGACUGACAGUGUGGU
rnacentral:miRNA from 1 species